rnacentral:lncRNA from 1 species
AAAAAGAAAAUAGCACACAUAAAAUGGAAUGGAUGGAGUAAUUGUUAUCAUUGAAUAGUACAACUUAGACUGCACAAAAUUUGUAAGGAACAACGGACAAAGGUUGGAGUGCUCAUCCAAUGCAAAAACCUUAUCAAUGGGUUAUUUUUAAAAAAAAAAAUUGAGAGAAUUUUUUUUAGAUAAUUUCAAAUAUAUACAAUAAUAUAAUUAGUUUAUGAUAAAUAUAGUCAUGUUUUAAUUACUAAAAAAGGUAGCCGGAAAGUUUUAAAAAACUCAAGUUUUAGCCACGAUUUGAACUGCGACUAAAUGACCCUUUUUUUAGGUAACUAAAAAUUUUAUUAAUCACCAAGGGAAUUCAUAUAUAACUUCUCGAACGUUGUAUAUGCAAUGUAUCGAUAUUGUAUAAAUAGUGUAUAAAUAGGUAUUCAUAUUAUAUAAAUAGUGUAUGAAUAUGUAUAUAUGAUGUAUAAAUAGUUAUGCAAUGUAUCAAUAUCUAUCUAUAUUAUAUUAAAAGUGCGAAGAGCCUUAAAAAUAUUGUUUGAACUUUUUGCCCUUCAUAAAAAAUCUGUGCUUUAGACAAAAUUAUCUUUUCACUAUUUUCCAAAUAAUUAAAAGUUGAAAAUUAAUUAAAUAUUUAUAGUAGAUCUUUCUUUAUUAGAAGUCAUCAUAAUUAAUAACAACUAAUGUCAUUUUCAUUAGUUUAAAAAUUCUAAAUCAACAAAUGUUGAUUUUAAGAAGAUUUGGAAAAUAUAAAAAUAAAUAUGAAUACGUUAGAAUAAGCAAAAUAUAAGAAGUAUUAAAUUUUUAAAAGUUUUAAGUAAGUAUUCAAAGAUUUUCCAAGAUUUAACUUUAAAAAUAAGAAAAGAUUUUAAAUAUAGAAAAAUAAAAAGAAUAAUUGUAAUACAAAUAUAGUUCAAAUCAAUAUGUUUCUCUUAGCAUCUAGCAGCAAUGAUAAAAUGUACUGCAUGACAAAAUCAAAAGUGACUAUCCAUUAACCACUUAAAAUAUCUGGUGAUAAAAUAUAUAUGUGCUUACAGUAAAAUAUAUGUUAUGUUUACAUUAUUAUAUUAAAGUGCUUAGAAUAAAAUAUAUGUUAUGUUUACAUUAUUAUAAUAAAGUGUGAAAAUGUCUGAGAAGUGAUUCAAACUUUCUGCACUUCAUUAAAAGCCUUUGCAAUAGAUAAAAUUGUUUAAUUUUAAAUAAUUAAAUAUUAUACGUGCGAGGCACGUGCGGUUCAACUAGUUGUAUAAAUAGUGUAUAAUCGUGUGUUCCUAUAAUGUAUAACUAUGUAUCAGAGGUGUAUAUACGCAAUAUAUAUUUUGUAUUCAAUAUAUAUACGUUAUAUAAAUAGUUAUGUGAUAUUGUAUAAUGAUGUAUAAACGUGUAUAUAUGAUAUAUAAUUUACGUAUCGAAAACAAUAAAAAAUGGCCGUAUGUGGAACUCCGGCAAAACAAAUGCACAAAACUACAUUCAUUUGUUUAGUAACUAAAGCACAUAUGAGAACAUAACAACAACAACAACAAGAAGUCCAGUGUAUUCCCACACAGUGGGGUCUGGGGAGAGUAAAAUGUAUGCAGUCCAUACCGCUACUUCCAAAGAAGUAGAGAGGUUGUUUCCAAUGGACCCCCGGCUCAAGAUUAAAAAUGAAAAAAAAGGGUAAUGAAACGUGAAGCAGGAUGGGUGGCUUAACAGCAGUAAAGAAUCAGAAAUAGUAAAAUAGAACUCAGAGCGAUACAGAAUAGGGGAACUAAGAGCCAUAAGCUAUAAUAAAUAAGAAAAACGAAAUCUGGAAUAGGGUACCCGCUUAGUAGUAACCUACACUCACAGACCAAAGCCACCCACCACACCCAAUCUCUCCUGACUAGCGGCUCCUACCUAUAGACACAGUCCUACGAUUACUACCCCGGCUAAACAGGGACUCUCCUAAUUACUUGCUACAACCCAUGUACUCAUCCUGACCUUCUACCCUUAUCCGCGACCUCCACACCUUCCUACCUAGGAUCAUGUCCUCGGUAAGCUGAAGCUGCUCCAUAUCAUGUCUAAUCACUCCCCUCCAAUAUUUCUUCGGUCUCCCUCUACUCCUUCUGAAACCAUCCAAUGCUAGCCUUUCACACCUGUGAACUAGGGCAUCUGCACCCCUCCUCAUCACAUGCCCAAACCAUAUCAGCGUUCCUUCCUGUAUCUUGUCCUCCACCGAAGCCACUCCCACCUUCUCCCGAACAAUCUCAUUCCUAACUCUAUCCUCUCUUGUAAGCCCACACAUUAAGCGCAACAUUCUCAUUUCCGUCACCUUCAAUUUUUGAAUAUAGGAGUUCUUAACAGACCAACACUCCGCUCCAUACAAUAUGGCUGGACGGACUACCACUCAAUAGAAUUUGCCUUAAAGCCUACAGGGCACCUUCCUAUCACACAACACUCCAGAGGCAAGCCUCCACUUCAUCUAACCAGCUCCAAUACGAUUAGAGACAUCCUCGUCAAUCUCACCAUUCCCCUGAAUCAUAGACCCAAGAUACUUAAAACUAUCCUUCUUACAUACAACUUGAGAAUCCAACCUCACCACCACUUCGUCUUCCUGCCUUAAGUCACUAAACUUGCACUCCAAAUACUCCGUCCCUACUCAACCUGAACCCUUUAGAUUCUAGGGUUUGCCUCCAUACCUCCAAUUUUUCAUUCACACACUCCCACAUCUCAUCAAUCAGCACUACAUCAUCUGCAAAUAACAUACACCAAGGCACUUCACCUUGAAUACUCCGCGUCAACACGUCCAUCACCAGCGCAAAUAGGAACGG